rnacentral:pre_miRNA from 1 species
AAAGUACUCCUCCGUCCCAAAAUUCUUGUCUUAGAUUUGUCUAGAUACGGAUGUAUCAAGUCACAUUUUAGUAUUAGAUACAUCUGUAUCUAGACAAAUCUAAGACAAGAAAUUUGGGACAGAGGGAGUAGUUG